rnacentral:rRNA from 1 species
AAACCAACAGGGAUUGCCUCAGUAGCGGCGAGUGAAGCGGCAAAAGCUCCAUUUUGAAAGCUCUUCGGAGCGUUGUAGAUUGGUGGGAAGCUAACGGCUGGUGGGAGACCAAGUCCUCUGGAACGAGGCGCCAUAGAGGGUGAGAGCCCCGUGUGUCUCCUUUACCGACCUUUCAGCCCCCUCCGCGGAGUCGAGUUGUUUGGGAAUGCAGCUCUAAGUGGGUGGUAAAUUCCAUCUAAGGCUAAAUAUUGGCGAGAGACCGAUAGCGAACAAGUACAGUGAUGGAAAGAUGAAAAGCACUUUGAAAAGAGAGUGAAACAGUACGUGAAAUUGUUGAAAGGGAAGGGUAUUUGGCCCGACAUGGGUCCUAUGCACCGUUGCCUCUCGUGGGCGGCGCUCUGCUUGGGCCUGGGCCAGCGUCAGUUUGGAGGGGGCGAGAAGGGUUUUGGGGAGUUGCCUAGCAAUUCCCCUUUGCUAGAUUGCCCCACACCGGACUGAGGACCGCCAUCUGUAGGAUGCUGGCACAACGGCCAAAUACCGC